UCGACCGCCUGGGGAGUACGGCCGCAAGGUUAAAACUCAAAUGAAUUGACGGGGGCCCGCACAAGCGGUGGAGCAUGUGGUUUAAUUCGAUGCAACGCGAAGAACCUUACCUGGUCUUGACAUCCACGGAAGUUUUCAGAGAUGAGAAUGUGCCUUCGGGAACCGUGAGACAGGUGCUGCAUGGCUGUCGUCAGCUCGUGUUGUGAAAUGUUGGGUUAAGUCCCGCAACGAGCGCAACCCUUAUCCUUUGUUGCCAGCGGUCCGGCCGGGAACUCAAAGGAGACUGCCAGUGAUAAACUGGAGGAAGGUGGGGAUGACGUCAAGUCAUCAUGGCCCUUACGACCAGGGCUACACACGUGCUACAAUGGCGCAUACAAAGAGAAGCGACCUCGCGAGAGCAAGCGGACCUCAUAAAGUGCGUCGUAGUCCGGAUUGGAGUCUGCAACUCGACUCCAUGAAGUCGGAAUCGCUAGUAAUCGUGGAUCAGAAUGCCACGGUGAAUACGUUCCCGGGCCUUGUACACACCGCCCGUCACACCAUGGGAGUGGGUUGCAAAAGAAGUAGGUAGCUUAACCUUCGGGAGGGCGCUUACCACUUUGUGAUUCAUGACUGGGGUGAAGUCGUAACAAGGUAACCGUAGGGGAACCUGCGGUUGGAUCACCUCCUUACCUUAAAGAAGC
rnacentral:rRNA from 1 species